CUUAUUUUAUGAUUAUCAUUAUCUUUUUCAUAUGUUAAUAGACACUUAUAAAUGAAAAUAGAAGUGAAAAAAAUUAAAAAAAUUUUACGAGCAAAUUUGGUAUAACAAAAUGAGAUUUCCUAUAACAUUAUUACCAAAUUUUAUCCACUCUCGUUGGCGUAAACACAAAAUAGGCAAUCAAGUGGCCAACAAAAGCACAGCAGCGCCGCAAUGAUGAAGUAAAAAUUAAGAAAAGCAAAAAGCAACAACAAUAUAAAAUGUGAAAACGAACUAAAGAUCGGACAGGAGGGCGUGUGACUGCAACGAAAAGUGGGAGAGAAACACUACUAAACCGCAUAAAGCUGCAAUAAAAGUGUGUGGUGCGGAGUCGUAAAAGUUGUAAAAAAUCGGCAUUUAAAUUAAAAGCAUCGGUUGUAGUUCGGCACAUUCCACAUAAGUGUGUAGAGGUUAAAAACCAAGUUUCGUAUUCUGGUGUGUGUGCGAGGUGUGUAAGAAAUUCAAAAUUUAUAAGAAAAAUUAGUUAAGUGGCGGUAGAAGGAUGUUUACGGUGGAUAAUGCAGGAAGCGGUCGAUUUCAUUAGUUUGCUGAAAAUUUGUAAAGACAAGCAUAAAAUAAAUAGAAGAACAAGGAGAAAAGAGAAAAUUAUA